UACGUAGGGUGCGAGCGUUGUCCGGAUUUAUUGGGCGUAAAGAGCUCGUAGGCGGUUUGUCGCGUCGGCCGUGAAAUCUCCACGCUUAACGUGGAGCGUGCGGUCGAUACGGGCAGACUUGAGUUCGGUAGGGGAGACUGGAAUUCCUGGUGUAGCGGUGAAAUGCGCAGAUAUCAGGAAGAACACCGGUGGCGAAGGCGGCUCUCUGGGCCUUACCUGACGCUGAGGAGCGAAAGCGUGGGUAGCGAACAGG
rnacentral:rRNA from 1 species